rnacentral:rRNA from 1 species
UACGAAGGGGGCUAGCGUUGUUCGGAUUUACUGGGCGUAAAGCGCACGUAGGCGGAUCUUUAAGUCAGAGGUGAAAUCCCAAGGCUCAACCUUGGAACUGCCUUUGAUACUGGGGAUCUCGAGUUCGGGAGAGGUGAGUGGAACUGCGAGUGUAGAGGUGAAAUUCGUAGAUAUUCGCAAGAACACCAGUGGCGAAGGCGGACUCACUGGCCCGAUACUGACGCUGAGGUGCGAAAGCGUGGGGAG